GUGCUCGCUUUGGCAGCACAUAUAGUAACAUUGGAAUGAUACAGAGAAGAUUAGCAUGGCCCCUGUGCAAGGAUGACAUGCAUAUUGGUAAAGUGUUCUAUUUUUGA
ensembl:snRNA U6 U6 spliceosomal RNA